ACAUCACUAGAUUUAUAUAAUCUCGAAAGUAAAUAUAGGUAUAUGUGCAUUAUUUGUUACACUAUUUUAACUAUCAAAAUGGAUUUCAAUAUGAUUUGUCGACUCUGUUGUAAACAAACAGACCACUUACGUUCUAUUAUUGAGGUGAAAACAAUAAAUUUGCCAAAUGUUUUCACUGAUAUUUUGAAAUUAAAGUUUUCUGAUGAAGAUGGCCUUCCUCAAAAAAUUUGCAGGUCUUGCCUCUCUACGUUGGAUAAUAUAUAUGAAACAGUUGAAUACUUUCGCAGUAAUGACAAAAACCUACGGCUUCGGUUGAAUGAAUGGUCGGAAAUCUAUAUAAAAGAAGAAUUAAUCGAUACUGACGAGGAGCAACGAACAUUUACUCAACAAUUAGAAAAACGGCCAUUCUCAGUUAAAGCGGAAGAGCAAAAGGACGUUUCCGAAGAAAGAGUAACACAUUCAGAUAAUGAGGCAAUUUAUGAAGAAUGGUUAUCUGAAUAUGAAAAUCAACGGUGCGAUACGUUCAAUCAAAGACCAUUCCAAAACGAGGAAGUUUAUGCCGAUAUGGAUAAAAAAAAUGACACUGACGUUAGUAAGAAAAAAAAUGGAACUCGAAUUGGCCGACCUAGAACUCGCUUCGAUGAUCCAAAUAGACCACGUUUAAACGAUUUCAAAUGCUAUGUAUGCAAGAGCGAAUCAAUGGGUACACCAGAUGCAUUGCGAGCUCAUUUGGAAGUUCACUUAGAUCAAUUACCUUACACAUGCACGAUUUGCGUAGCAGAAACAAUUGUUAUUAACAGUAUAACAACGCUGAAUAUCCACAAAAGGAUGCAUGAAAAUCCGUAUAAAUGUCCCCAAUGCGAUCGAUGCUAUGCUAAUAAGCGAGCUGUUGAUGGACAUAUACAGUCAUAUCAUUCAGAAGAAAACACUCCUUCUCCUUCAAUUUGUGACAAAUGUGGCAAAGUUUGUCGGUCUUUGACAUCUUUGAAAUAUCACGAGAGGCUUCAUACAUCUGCAUGCGCAUGUGAAUUUUGUGGCAAACUUUUUGUCGAUAGACACAAACUUCGACGACAUAUUGAACGAAAGCAUGAGAAAUUGAAGAAAUAUGAAUGUUACCUCUGUCACAAAAAGUUAUGCUCUAUGGAUGCAGUGCAAGUGCAUUUUAAGACUAUACAUUCAACAAAGGUGGUAAAUUGUGAAUACUGUGGUAAAAGUACAUAACUGUUCGCUAACUGGGCGAAGAGCACUUUCCCAGUUAUCGAAAUCGGCUCGCUAACUGGGAUGUCAUCUCAAACGUAACUAAACGUUGAGGGGGAUUUCAAUGAACAGCAAGCUAACGCUGCCUCGCGACACUAAUAAAAGAUUUAAAUUUUUAAGUUGGUCGCCAGACAAAAAGUUCUAUUCGUGUUGUUACUGCUUAUGUUACUAUUAAAUCCCAAACUAGAAAAUUAACCGCGAAAGCAUCAUCCUUUAAUGUUCCCCAUUCGCAUGCCCCUCGAUCGUUUUGAUCAUUGACGUUCACUAUAAAUCGACACGUUACUGCCAAGUGGAUUCCACUUACUUUUGUGCUAAUAGAUGAAACAUUUCAUAUCUGAGUGGAAUACACUUGCGUUUCACUUCACAGCACAAAAUCAAGUGUCUCACACUUCCGUUUGCCAUGUCUUGCAUACCAAAACCAAUAUUUAUACACUCAGAUUUUAAUGUUAAAACUCGUCAAAUGUCAAAAUACGUCAAAAUAUUGUGGAUUCCAUUGAAAGUCGAUAUGGGUUGACCUGUUAAAAUGAUUGGAUAUCCAUCAGAAUUAUCCCUUCGAUAUCAUUUGAAAAAGCACGAAAAAGACCCAAAUUCAAAGUUCUCCUGCGAUUGGAAAAAUUAUUAUUCUGAAAUAGUUACUGGUGAGAAUAAACCAUCUAAGAAAUGCAAUUUAUGUGGAGCGGUUGUAAAAGCCAUUGCCCCACACAUGCGUUCCGUGCAUUUUCCUAAAGAGUACCGCUGCAAUAUAUGUGAGUCAGUAUAUAAAUCUAAGAACACCUACGACAUUCAUGUUUUGGAGCAUAAAUUUGGUAAAGCACAUCGAUGCCCGAUAUGUGACAAAGAAUUUUCUGAAAAAAAGAAUUUGAUUGCGCAUUUAAAAACUAAGAAACAUCGAGACCAUCCAUUAGCCAAAUCACUUGGCUGGUUAGAUAUGAAAAGUGAAGCUGGUAUCAACCAGCUAAAACCGGAAGAUACGGCAUGAAAAUUUGUCAAUGAAGAUGGAACAAAAUAACGGAUGAAAAUGAUAUCAAUCAUUGCUGUAUUACCAACCGUAUUCACAUUUGUACGAAAAUAUAAAAAUAUCGUUCUCA